rnacentral:lncRNA from 1 species
UUUUAAAAAGGUCCUUAGGCCCACUUUCUUUUUAUGUGUCUUAUUUUUGCAUAGGUGUCACUUGCUGACUGUUUAAUUGUGCACAUGUGGCAGCCACGUGUAACUGAUUUCAUUUUAAUUAUUUAAAAAACAAAAAACAUAUUUUCGAAAUAAAAAUAAAAAAUUGAAAAAAAAUGAAAUUAAUAAAAAAACUGGAAAUUAAACUAAAAUAAUUACCACAUGGCUGCCAAAUGUGCAAACUUACACAGUCAGCGAAUGCUACGUAGGCAUAAAUGUGCCAAAUCAUCAAUAAAGUGGGGCCAAAGACUAUUUUAAAAAACCAAAAUUUUUGUAGGGAUGGAUUUCAAUUUUUUUUUACCAGGGACCAAAACUCAAACUCGUCAUAUUUGCAGGAACCAAAAAUAUAUUUUAGCCUUAAAUAUUUAUAUGAAAUCCUAUGUUACUUCUUUACCUUGGUUCUUCUCUUUCAUUGACCUGAUCUUCUUGUUGAUUCUUCUAUUUGAUUGAUCAUGUUUUUAUUGACUCUUGUGUUUGAUUGCUUCUCUCUGUUAGUUCUUUUAUUUGAUUACUUCUCUCAGUUGGUUUGGUUUUCUCUACGAUGGUUUCUCUACGUUGCUCCUCUCCAUGCAUAUUGGUUAUGCUAUAAAUUGGUUUGGUUAUUUUUCAAGGUUAAUUCUAACAACGUUAAACUUAAUAGGCUUUCACUUGAGUGGUAUUAUUAGAAUAAUGUGUUUUUAGUUUAUGUUAAGUAUGCUUUUUUUUUUUUUUUUUUUUUCUGUGUGUUUGACGAACUCUAGAUGCUUUGUGUUGAUGCAUCGUAAAUUUAAAGGGAGAGGUGUUAUUAUUAGAUAAUAAUAAGUUUAUUGAGGCUUUAUGUUAUUGGACUUUUUAUGUUAGUAGUCUUUUAACAAGAUGUGUCAUUGACGAAACCCGCCUAGCCGCCAUUGGUGUAUUAUUCUCUCCGAAACUCAACAUUGUUAACAAAAUAACUGCACUAUAAUUAUGGUAUUAGAGGUCUCAACCUAAUAAUUAAUUAUUUUAGGAUUUUAAUUGAGGCUCCACCCACUUAAAAGUAUAUUUGUCUAAGAUAAGAUGAUAUAUCGAAUAAUUUGAGAUUGAUGAAAAAUAAUAUAUCUAAUAUAUUUUUUAGAAUAUCUAAUAAUUUUUUUAGAAUAUCUAAUAAAGAUGUAAUUGAGUCAUGUAACGCUACUCGAGUGACAAAAGCAAAACAAUACUCAUUCAUUUAAGUUGAUAGAAUAUAUUAGAUACAAUAACAUAAUCAAUAUCGCUAAAAAAGUAAAGGGUGAAUCUGCGAAAAAUCUCACAAAACCCAAUUUAUAGCAUACAAAGGGUAAAUGCUUACAAAUAAUAUGAUAAAAUCUAAAUCACUAGAAUACUCAUGUCUUCGGAUCUGCAACGUUGCCUCCUAAAUCAUUGAUUGAAUUUGUGAUCGAUGGAACAUAUUUCAAUAAACAAGAUGCAGAAUCAAACAACGCUGCACAAGACAACGAACAACAUAAAUACGCACUCAGACGAUGAAAUCACGAAAAAACACAAAAGAAAAUACUUAGAUAUAUGUGAAUCACUUAUUUAGAUUGAAAGAAAUGAGAAAAAAGAUGCAGAUGGAAGAUUCUAUGUCAAAAAUUAAUUGAUAUCAUUAAAUAAAAUAGAGUUAAUACAAGGAGGACAAAUCUCAAAAACAUGGGGACUAGGCUAUGAACAUGCCGCCCUAGAAUGGUAUGAGCAGCCAUGUUCGCUUGAUGCCUAACAAACUUCACCUCAAAGUUGAAAAAUAAAUCUAACAUAGACUUAAUGGUCUAUUAAACUCUGAAGCACCACUACUCCGGGAUGAAAUUCGAUCCACAAGAGUACGAUAAUCCGUCUCAAAUACGACCUUGUCCCAACUUUUUGCAAUAGUGACUUGAAUUGCUUCCUGUAGUGUCAUAGCUUCCCCUUCAAGGACUGAUAUAUGAGUAUUUAUCUUUGUCGAAUGACCAAUAAUAAACACGCCAUAUGCAUUCCUAAAGCAACAACAUGUCUUCAAAAUUCCUACGAAGCUAUGGAACGCAACGUCAACAUUGCACUUCAGCUAGCCAUUAGCAGUUUUUCCCAUCGAAUCUUCGCGGGGAAGGGGCGAUCUACAUUCCGACCCGAACUGCUCACAUCUUGGGCAAGUUUCCAUUGCUGCCAAUUUCUCAAAGACAUCCUCCCAAUUCCCAAAGGCGUGUCACGAGUAGAGUUUCAAACAUCAUCAUUCCUUGCUGCCCAUAACUACCAUAGUAGCACCGCAACACAACCACCCAUAUCAUCACUCUCCUUGCAACAAAUAUCGAAAAUAAGCUCAGGCAGGGACUGAAAUUGGCUAGCCCUUGGUAGCAACACAGCAGAAAGACCAUCAGAAAACCAACUUUCUCUAGGCAUUUCACAACCAACGAAAGAAUGCCAAUCCGUUCCCUCCUCACAAUGAUGCCACAGACAACUAUUAGUGCACGACACAUGACACUGGAUCAGUUUAGUACGAGUUGGGAUACAACCCCUUCAGAUCCGCCACAACAGGUUUCACACUUUGUGAGGAUUACGAACUUUCUGACCCUCGAGAUUUAUCCAGAUGCAUUUGAAACAAUGCUUGUUUAAGCUCAUCCUUAAUAAUGGGCUUGUUGAGUGUCAAAUUAUCCUCCAUAGUAAUACAAGGCUGAAUGAUAUUAAGCACCGGUGUGUACAUGGUUACCAAUAUUAGGAGCAAACACAACAUCAAGAUAAUCCUUGACAAUUUUGCAAAGUUCCUUCUAGCUAGUAACAACUGUACCCUGCUGUAGCGUCGUCACCUUCUUAACCUUUCUUCUCGCGGUUGCCGACAUGUGGAAGAACUUUGUGUUCAUAUCUCCUUCUUUCAACCAAUGCAUUUUAGCCCUUUUCUUCCAAAAAGCUUCCUCAUGUACAAACAAUCGGGCAUGGCGCUCAUUCUCUUUGAGGAACCUAGUUGUAUUCAUGCCAUUAGGUGAGCUCCUAAUUGAUUCAAGAAUGCGAGUGCAUUGUUGUAUCUCCUCCUGAAAGUGAAUUAUCUUCCUCCUGCCUAGGGGUGGGAAUAGGCCAGGUCAGGCCAGACUUUGAUAGGCCUGAGCCUAGCCUACGAAAUAAAUCACAAGCCUGAGCCUGGCCUAUGGCCUAUCAUAGGCCGUUUUUCUAGGCCUGGCCUGGCCUAUUUAAAAGCCUGGACUGGCCUGAAAGCCUACUUACAAGCCUACUUCACAUUAAGGCCAUCAAAUAGUUCAUUUAACCUACUAAAUAGGUUAAACAUGUCUUAAAGCCUACUUAAAAGCCUAUUUUACUACAAGUAAUUUUCAACUAGAUUAAAGCCUACAUAAAAGCCUAUAACAACAAAGCCUAUUAAGAGACUAAUAGAUAGAGAAAAAGAUGUUUAUAUUUUUAAUAUAUGCAAUUAUUUUAAUAUAAAAAAAUAUUUUUUAAUAAAUAAGUAUUAAUAGGCCGGCCUAUUAGGCUUAACAGUCUUUUUUUGAAGCCUAAGCUUGGCCUAUUUAACUAAUCAGGCUUUGUAAAAAGCCUAAGUCUAGACCUAUCUACUAAACAGUCCAGGCCAGGCCGUAGGCCCCUGUAGGCCGAUCUGGCCUAUUCCCAACCCUACUCCAGCCCCAUCGUUGUAACGUAAAAGAGUAAUGCAGAUCCCGACCAGACACUUCCACAACACCACCCCCAUUCCACCCUUCAACAACAACUAUUUCUAAUUGAGUUCUUUUUAGUAAUAAUAAUUGUAAAGACAAAUUAAAACCCAAAAAAAUUUGUAAAGACAAAUUGAUUGAAUUUUUUUAAAAAAACAAAACUAUAUAAGGAAUAUUAUAUAGUUUAUUUUGCUUAUAUGAGUAGAAUGUAUUGCUUUAAAUUAUAUAUUGUUGUAUUUUUAAUAUUUUUGGUCAAGUAGCCUGACGUUUUCUGGUCAAGCGGGCUAACGGUUAGAAAUUUACUUUUUAAGGUGAAUAAGUGGUGUGUUCGGGAUCAAACUCCGUCCCCUACAUACAUUAUGCAUUGUCCCUAUCAAUUGAACUAAAAAUUAUAUAAUACAUAUAUUAGAAAAAUAUAUUCUAUUUUAUUUCAUUAUAUUUGGCCACUUCUUAAAAAAUUGUAUAACUUUGCCACCGUGUACAAUAUCAGUGGCUCUUUGUUUAAUAAUUUUCAAUGAUCAUUCAUUCUAGUGUGACAAUUUUUUGAAAAUCUUCUCUCUCAUAUUUAUAUUAGAUUCUUAUUCUCUCUCUUUCUUUUUCUCUAUUGUUUUUUAUCAAUAAAGAGAGAAAAAAGGAAAGUUGUCAUCAAAAUUUUCUAAAAUAGUUGUUCAAAUACGAUUUUCUUUUUUCUCUUUAGUCAAAUCAAUAGUUAUAAAUGGUGUAUUUUUAAACAGUGUUAAAAUAACAUUGUUUUUUAGAGCGGCAUUGCUAUUCAUAGCGAAGUAAAGAAAAACCACGAAACUUUAGCAAAAAGAAUGCCACCAUUAGAUCUAAAUUGGUGGAAAAAAUGAAAGAGUUUGUUGUAGUUACAAUAAAAAACUAGCAACAAGGUCGUCAUCUUUUUUCGCUAGAAAAUUCUUCGCAAGAAGUAAAAUUACCCUUUUUAGAGAAAUGAUAUUUAUACAAUCAUUUUGAUACAAUUUUUGAACAAGUCUCUCUUUCAUACUCUCGUUGUGUUUUUAUUUUCUCUCAUUUUUCUUUCUAUUGUUUUUUACCAAUAAAAAGAACGAAAAAGAAAAUUGUCUUAAAAAUUAUCAUAAAAUGGUUCUACAAAUAUCAUUACUCAUAAUCAAAAGCUUGUGAGUAAUAACUUUUUUUAAUGAAAAAUUAUAUAUUAUAUAUAUAAAAUGAAAUAUAAAAGCAAAAACUAAAACAACACCAUAAAACCAAAUAAACUUCUAUCAGAAACACCUAACCACAACCGGAAAAAUAAAAACAACUAACAAAACCCCUCAAUCAACCAACCUCUCUAAACAAAUCUGACACUAUCGAUGCCAACAAUAACGAGUUCAUGAUCAUGUAUUUAAUAGCUGGUGGUCUGAUUGCAUGCAUGCCCAUAUAUUUAAUUACAAUUGAUCGCACAGAGCUUAAAAUAUCGAGCCGUACGUAUUUCAACCACUCUUGUUAUUUAAAUGCUUAGAGUGUGAUUGAUGCAUGUCCAUAUACUUAAUUAUAAUUGAUCGGACAUGCAUGGUCUGAAUUAUUGUGGGUCAUGGCCGAAAGUUUGCUAGAUGUUUUUUUGUGGAAAUUGUGCUUGAUGUUGAUGCACGUCCAUAUUGAAUUAGAAUAUGUUCUACUGCAUUCAUUAUAAAUACAAUUUUUUUUGAGAGACAUAUGCUUGAAUAUUUUAGAUUUUGUUAUGUGAAUGGUCAUUAGCCCGUUGUUACUCCUGGAGUUCCUCUAGACUCCAAAUCAAUUACUUAUACCAACCUCUUCUUCAUGAUAGCAUUCAAAAGACAAAAUUUGAAUCAUAUGCACUUUGGUACUCGUAAGUACUAUGACCUUGUUUCAGUAUAUUACAUUAUUUGUAGCAAUUCUCUUCAUCAUAUCAUACAAUAUAUGGAGGCGCAACAAAAAUGUACUUGUUCCAAAUUGGCCAAUAAUUGGCAUGCUGCCAUCCGUUUUGCAUAAUCAAUCCAAAAUUCAUGAUUUUGCAACCUUAGUUUUGAAACAUCAUGGUGGCACUUUUCAUUUUAAAGGACCUUGGUUUACAAACAUUGCCAACUUUAUGAUCACCAGUGAUCCCAUGAAUGUGCACCACAUCACUAGCAAGAAUUUCAGCAACUAUGGAAAAGGAUCUGACUUCCAUGAAAUUUUUGAAAUUCUUGGUGUUGGUAUUUUCAAUUUAGAUUCUAAUGAAUGGAAACAAGAGAGAGCAUUGUUUCAUUCAUUGCUCAAAAGGAAAAGCUUUGAGAUACUCCUUCAUCAAUGCAUUAGAAAUAAGUUAGAGAUUUUCCUAUUACCAUUUCUUGAUCAUGCAUCCAAAGGAGUACAAAUACUUGAUUUACAAGAUAUUCUUGAGAGGUUCACCUUUGACAUUAUUUGCACUUCUGUAUUUGGAUUUGAUCCUAAUUGCCUUCCUAACAAUUUCAGUGAGAUAUCAGAUAUUUCUUAUGUAAAAGCUAUAUCUGUGACUGAGGAUGUGAUCUUGUCGAGGCACUAUAUUCCAAAAUGUAUUUGGAAGCUACAAAAAUGGUUACAGAUUGGUCAAGAGAAGAAGUACAAGGUAGCAAAAGAAAAUCUUCAUCAAUUCAUAUACAAAUGUUUGAACUACUACAGAAGUGGUGAAGAGAAAAGAAGCGAUGAUAGUCAUCUUUGCUUGCUUAAAGAUCUAAUGGAGGAAGGAUUGGAAAAGGGGGAAAUGGUUGAGAGGUAUAUUAGAGAUACUACAAUCAAUCUCUUGGUUGCAGGAAAUGGAACAAUUAGUACAGGUCUCACUUGGUUUUUUUGGCUGGUUUCAACGCAUCCUAGGGUAGAUGGUAAAAUUAUUCAAGAGAUCAAAGAUAAUUGUUUAAAACACGAUGAGAAUUUUAUCGCUAAUUUAGGUGUGGAAGAGCUUGAUAAGCUAGUUUACCUUCAUGGAGCCAUAUGUGAAGCCUUAAGGCUAUAUCCUUCUGUAGCAUUUCAGCACAAGUGUGCUAUCAAAUCGGAUAAACUUCCUAGUGGAGACCAUGUUAGUCCAAAUACAAAGUUAAUAUAUUCUUUGUAUGCAAUGGGAAGGAUGGAGCAAAUAUGGGGAGAGGAUUGCUUGGAGUUUAAGCCUGAGAGAUGGAUAUCAGAUAGAGGACAAAUUAUACAAGUGCCGUCUUAUAAGUUCAUAGCGUUUAAUGCAGGUCCAAGAAGCUGUCUUGGGAAAGAUAUUAGUUUUCUUCAAAUGAAAAUGGUUGCAGCUGCAGUUUUAUUUAAGUUUCACAUUCAGGUGGUGGAAGGUCACUCAAUAAUUCCUAGGGUUUCUAUUCUCCUUCGCAUGGAACAUGGCUUUAAGGUCAAAAUUCGUAAAAGAUGCAUUUGAUAUAAGCAUUACAAGUUUUAUAAAGUUCAGAAUGAUUAGUGUGAUGCAUGUUGUGUGUUUUUAAAAUCUGUUUAUGUUGCCCUAUUUGUCAUUGUUAAAUAAUGUUAUUUUAAAACUUCACUAUUUUCUAGUCGUGUGUUGUAACACAGAAUGCAUAUCCUCAAUGUUUGGUUGAUAAAAUUUGCGUAGCUAAUAUCUGAAGGGAAAUCGCAAAAUACAAUCAAGAUAAACAAAUCGGAAAUUAAAAUUCAAGCCUUCGAUUGUUCGUUGUAAAUAUUCAUGAAUCAAGGAUUAUGCGAAUUACCAGUUGUAGCUCAGACCCUUUACCGACGAGAACUGAGACGAAUCUCCAACGUUGUUCAACCAACAAAAUCUCUAUGUAGUCCCAUGAAGGCUGAAGUUCCUAACUAAAUGAUAAUCUCCAAAUAUAUUCAAGAUUUCCACUGCAUUUUCUUAAUUAGAAAGUUAAUCUCCAAAAUAAACAUUACCCAAAUUCAAAGUUUACUUACCAUUUCAAAAUCAGUUUAUGAUCCUUAAGAAAUGAUCUGAAGCCUUGUGUAGGUUUGGACAAGGAAAACCACCUUUAGCAAAAAACUGCAGAAUCAAUUGUCACUAUGUAUCAUAUAACUUGAGUAUAAUAUAACUUAAAAGUAUAUGAUCGAAUAAUGUUAAAGUGGAACACAUAAAGUUGGUACAAUAUUAAUAUGAUAAAAAAAAACUAUUAAUUUGAAAGAAUCCUAUAUUUAAUAAUUCAUAAGGAUUUUGGUUACCUGAUUUACAUUAAAUUAGUCCCUUGUGUUAACAGAAAUCCAUAUAACCUGUGAAAGAAAUUAAUAAAUACAUAUGAAUCUACACUAUUUUUUGAAGGUGCAAAAAACAUAAGAGAGGGGUUUCAAUUGUGUUGGUCUCUUUUUAUGAUUGGAUAAAAAUAAUGUUGAAAAUAAAGAGAUAAGGGAUGAGAGAUGACACAAUAUAUAUAUUUAUUUUGGUUCACCCAUAAACUGAGAUUACGUUCAGUCCCCUUGCACUUUUCAAAGGAUUCUUCCACAUUAAUAAAAUCCUGAUUACAGCAACAACACCAAGACAGCUAGCCCUAGAUUUCCUUUACCUCAACCUAGAGGACUUUCUAAAGGGGGAGCUUUCGCGCAACCGGUAAAAUUGUUAUCAUGUGAUUGAAAGGUCAUGAAUUCAAGUCGUAGAAACAACCAAUGUAAAUAAAAGAAGGUACGGACGUGUACAAUACACCAAAUGGUUGAUGGAACUUUUUCCAAACUCUGCGCAUGCGGGAGCUUUAGUGCACUAGACUGUUUUUUUUUUAACCUAUCCUAAUUUUAAUCGAGAGAUUUACAAAAAAAUAUUACAACAUAUGUGUUUAUACAAACUAUAAUAGUAAAUAAAUUUACACAAAAAUUAAACACAAUACAUUAUAAGUGUAUCUCUGUUGGUUUUCUUUGACUUUUUCUAAUACAAGAUGUACAAUAUAAACAAGAUAAAAACAGAGUGCAGUAUAUUGUAUGUGUUUACAGGUUCAUAACCUACUUCAAUCAGAACUUGUCCUAUAUAUAGAUAAAGCUUCAUGAACGUUAGUGAAGAAUCUAUUGUCUUUGAAUAACUAAUUAAAUGCACAGAUUAUCUUGAUUACGUGCACUCUGCAAACCAUAUAUCCAUUCAUUUUUAUUAAUGAUGCUCUUAAUGAAUUUUCUUAGCAAAGAAUCCUUGCAUGCAUCAGUGACAUGUACUUAAUUCAGACACUUGGUACAAGGAAUCUCAAUCCAGAGGUUUGAAUCACAUAGUGUUAACUUCCACAAGUUCGACCUUGAUCUUGAUACAGAGCUAUGUCCUUAUAUAUGACAUAAAGCUUCACUUCAAGGUUUAGAGCGUUGACCAAAGUUCAUAGAGUUGACUUGGUCGAAAGACAGAAUUUCGUUUACUUAGAAUUUUCUACAACUUAAAACCACAUUUUUGAGUAUCCUUAUUGUUCUCAUAUGCAAUUAUUUUUCACUUAGAUGAUAUAAAAAUCUGUAGGGGUGAAUAUAAAAAAGUAACACAUAAAAAAAUAAAUAAAAAAUAAAAUAAAGGGUUAAAUAUGUUUUUGAUCGCCAUAAAAUUAGGACUUUCAAAGUUUAGUCCUCACUUAAUUUUAAUAGUUUUUUUAGUCUCUAUUAAAAACUUCUGCACUCAGUUUUAGUCCCUAGUAAAUUCAAACUUGUUUAAUUAUGCUUAUACUCUCAAGUUUUUGAACAACUUUUUUCAGAUGUGUUAAGAACAUUACUAAAAGUUCAGGCAAAUGGAUAUAUAAGGUUAAGCAUAAUGUUGAUGGCUCCAUAGAGAGGUAUAAAACAAGGUUGGUUGCCAAAGAAUACACAUUUUGACACUUACGCUUCUGUUGCUAAGUUAACCACUUGUUAUUGCUCUAGCUUCAAUCAACAACUAGUUUUUACAUUAGCUAGAUGUAAACAAUGCAUUUUUGCAUGGAGAACUUGAUUAUCGUACCUUAGCACUACCAGACCUGAUAUAACUUUCAUCACCCAACAACUGAGCCAAUAUCUUUAUGAUCCCACCAUUACUCAUCACAAUGUAGCCUUAAGAAUUCUCAGAUACUUAAAAGGUUCUCCUAGCAAGGGUUUAUUCUUUCCCAUAAAUUAUUCCAUCACUCUCCAAGGUUUCUUACAUGCAGAUUGGGCUGAAUGUCUUGGUACAAGGAUAUCUAUAUCUGGUCAAUGUUUCUUGUUAGGACAUUCCCACAUUUCUUGGAGAACCAAGAAACAAAUCAUUGUUUCUAGAUCCUCAUCUAUAGCAGAAUAUAGGGCUUUAACAUCAUCUACUUGUGAACUCCAAUGUCUCCUUUAUCUUCUUCAAGAUCUUUCGUUACUUAUUUCAAGCUUCAUGUCUUAUACUGUGAUAAUCAAAGUGCACUUAAUAUAGCUGUAAACCCUGUAUUUCAUGAGAGGACCAAACACUUCGAGAUUGACUGUCAUAUAAUCAUAGAAAAAUUGCAAGCUGGCAUCUUGAAGUUUCUCACAGUUUCUUCUCAAGACAAAUUGCAGUUUUCACCAAAUCACUCCUACGUCUUAAAUUAUUUUAAUUUUUCAACCGAAACAUAAAAAGUUACAAUUUUACUCCGAGUAAAUAUAUAUUCAGGGGUCAAAUACUCUUCCCUAACCUAGGAUGGAGUAUAUUUUUACGUGAAUGUGUUUAAUGAUGUGUCUGAAUAGGACCAUACGAAUACUGACUUUUCCAUUCAUGAAAAUGUAUACAGUGGACUUCUAAAAUUUAUUUUGUUGGUUAGAGUAAAUUUCAGAGUAGAACCAUAAAUGUUCAUAAAUACUUAUGCUAGUUAUAGUGAAUGAUGAAAACUAUUCGAUAGUGCACGUAGACACAUUCACGUAAAAUCAAACACUUAUAACAAUCUCAGUCGUUCAUUGACAUCAUGCAUUAUAACAAUCUCAGUCAUUCAUUGACAUCAUGCGGUUGAAGUUUUAACUGCGUCAACCACUUAUAAUAAAUUUCCUAGAAUCACCAAAAAUCAUUGUGUUUUUGAAAAAACUAAUCUUUAUUUUAUUUUGCUAACGAGUGUACUUCUCUUUAAGGAUAUUUAAUUAAAAAAGUAUUCACUAAAAAAAGUUUAAUAAUUAAAUUUCAGGUGCAUUUAAUGCAUAAAUUUUCAUAAAAAUUUAUCUAAAGUUCUUAAAGAGUGCAAUUCGAACAUUCAUUAGUAGUUACCUUCUUUAAAAGAUCUACGAUAUUACAGUGUUAUCGUGAUUUUGACAAAUCUAUUGAUUGUAGGGAAAUAAUAGAUACAAUGACAAAAUGUAUCAAGAAAAUUUCUACGAUACUACAUCCCUUGAUUUCCGGCAAAUAACAAAUUUAAUUGACUGAGAUAUUUUCUUGAUAAAAACUCUCUAGAUAAAUAACAAUGCUCUUUCCUUAAAAGAAAAAUGCUCUUGAUUACUAAAUAUGUUUUGCGAGUUUACACUCAUGAAAAUAGAAAAAAAAAAACUAAGGAUGAGCAAACAUUGUAAAUAGGUUAGAUUAAAAACAAGCAGUUGUCAAAUCUUACAUUCAAAAGUUUUGUCAAAAAUAAAAUAAAAUCUUUCAUUCAAGUUUUAAUAAAGGGAAAUACUAAUAAUUAAUGUCCUUGGAGCACUUGUUUAGAAGCUGAAAGAAGAAAUUUAUAUUUGCGAAUUGUGUAUUUAACACAUUGAUUAGCACUUGUCUAAGAAAACUUGUUAGCGUAACACUUUAAUACACAAUUUAUGUUUGUUAGCAUAAACCUCAUUGCCUCUUUUGAACACAAAAAAAUGUAUCAAAGGCUUAAUAGUUAACAUGUGUGAAACAAAGGCUUAAUAACUAUAGAAAUAUAGAGAAUUUGUAAUAAAUUGACAAAGAUAAAGAAUUCCUAGGAAUUUCUUAAUAAAGACUAGAAUAAAUUAUCUAAUAUAAGAUGGAAUACAUAACCCUUUUUAUAUAUCCAAAGUGUAGGUAGAUAGAGAAUUAACCGAAAAUAAACCAAAUUGAAUACCGGUAUUAGAAAAGAACCAAGGAUAACACUAACUUAUCAUAAACACUAAAGAUAAAAUGAAUAUCAUUAAACACAAAUGGAAAAUAAAAUGAUUGAACAUAUAUCAAUGAGCAUUCUUAACUUCAAAAAACUGAUAAUGUUUAUAUCAAAUUCAUCUUUUACUAACUUUGACUUUGAAUCCAUGUUCCAUGCGGAGAACAAUAGAAACUCUUGGAGUUACAGAAUGACCUUCCACAACUUGUAUGUGAAACUUCCAUAACAUAGCAGCUGCAACCAUUUUCAUUUGAACAAUGCUAAUAUCUUUCCCAAGACAACUUCGAGGACCUGCAUUAAAUGCUAUGAACUUGCAAGAUGGUACAUGCAAAAUAUGUCCUUUAUCUGAUAUCCAUCUCUCGGGCUUAAAUUCGAAGCGAUCCUUACCCCAUAUUUGUUUCAUCCUUCCCAUUGCAUACAAAGAGUAUAUUAACUUAGUAUUUGGUUUAACAUAAUCUCCACUAGGUAGUAUAUCAGCUUUGAUUGCACACUUGUGCUGAAAUGGUACAGGAGGAUAAAGCCUCAAUGCUUCACAUAUAGCUCCAUGAAGGUACACUAGUUUAUUAAGCUUUUCAACUCUUAAAUUAGUGACCAAAUUAUCCUCAUGUGAUAGACAAUUAUCUUUUAUCUCUUGAAUUAUUUUAGCUUCCACUAUGAAAUGAGUUGAAACAAGCCAAGAGAACCAACUUAGACCUGAACUAACUGUUCCACUUCCUGCAGCUAAGAGAUUGAAUGCAGUGUCUCUAAUAUACUUAUCAAUUUCAACCAUUUCCUCAUUUCCCAAGCCUUCCUUCAUCAGUGCCUUUAGCAAGUAAAAAUGGCUUUCAUCAAAAUCUUCACCGUUUCGCAAUCUUCUUCUCUCUUCAUCACCUUUGGAAUAAUAAGUUAUACAUUUGGACAAGAAUUGGUGAAGAUUUUCUUGAGCUACCUUGUACUUCUUCUCUUGACCAAUUUGUAGCCAUUUUUGUAACUUCCAAAAGUAUUUUGGAAUAUAGUGCCUAGACAAUAUUGUAUCCUCAAUAAUCGAAAUAGCUUUUACAUGAGCAAUCUCUGGUAAUUCAUUGAACUUGUAAGGAAGGAACCUAGGAUCAAAUCCAAACAACAAAAUGCAUGUAAUAUCAAAGGUAAACCUCUCAAGAAUAUCUUGUAAAUCAAGUACCUGUACACUUUUGGAUGCAUGAUCAAGAAAUCGUAAUAGGAAAUUCUCUAGCUUCUUUUGAAUGUUUUGUUGAAAGGAUAUCUCAAAACUUUUCCCUUUGAGCAAUGAAUGAAGUAGUGUCCUCUCUUGUUUCCAUUCUUCGAAAUCCAAAUUUAAAAUACCAACACCUAAAACAUCAAAAAUUUCAUGGAAAUCAGUUCCUUUCCCAUAGUUGCUAAAAUUCUUGCUAGUGAUGUGAUGCACAUUCAAAUGAUCACUGGUGAGGAUAAAAUUGGCAAUGUUUGUGAACCAAGGUCCUUUAAAAUGAAAAGUGCCUCUACAAAGUUUCAAUCCUAAAGUUACAAAAUCAUGAAGAUUGGAUUGAUUAUGCAAAACGAAUGGUAGCAUGCCAAUUAUUGGCCAAUUUGUUACAAGUACAUUUUGGUUGCGUCUCCAUAUAUAGUAAAAUAUGACUAGUAGAAUUGCUACAAAUAAUGUAAUAUACUGAAACAAAGUCAUUGCUCUUAGACUAGGAAUUUGUGAUUCAAAUUUUUCCUUGUGAGUGAUAUCUUCAAGAAGAGUAUAUGGGUAUAAAUACUAACAUUCAAGCAUGUGUUUCAAUUUGUGUGUAUGAUAGGAUAUUCAGAAUAAGGAGCAUUAAUGUGGUGACUCGGCUAGUUCUAGAAGUUAUUAUGACUCACCUUAAUCUAGACGAUCUAGAAGGUAUAUUGUUAGGGGAUAAUAUCGAGUAUGUUAGGGAGUCUAUAUAAGUAUUGUAUGCCUUAUUAUGAGAAUGAAUGAAAAAAUACAAUGAAUUUAUUUUCUUUUAUCUUUAACCUCUCUCGAAAUUCUGGAGUGUGAUACCUAUUCGAAUUGGGUCGUAUAAGUGUAUUAUAUGAUGUAUUAUAUGAUGAAUAGUAUAAGAUAGACUUAAUGCAUUUUGAGUCUCCUUGUUAUCACAAAUCCACAGUUUUAAUCAUCUUAUUUUUAAUUAAGAAAUUUUGGUCUUUUGAUUUUAAAUUUUUUAGACAAUUUGACCGGUUACUAAUUUUGAACAACAUUUUGAUGAUUUGUCGGUUUUUUUAUAACUGCUCACAUGAAUAAGAUGUUUAUGUGACGAUCACACAUAAUUUAUAAUUUUAAAAUAACUCAACGAUAUGAUUUGCUCAUCUGAGAAUCUAGAAAUAGUUCAACGCUUCAUGAUGCUGUUGUGAGGACUUUGGAACAAUAGAAACGAUAUGAUUUGGAACCAAAAACAUUUAGUUGCACAUGAUAUAUGCUUGAAUGUUAACUGGUUUUGGCAGAAGUGGUAUGCGGUCCAGGAUUUGCGUAACAAUGGCAGACAACAAGCUGAUAUUGACUUUAAUAUGAGGUGGCAAAUUCCAGAAUAUGGCAGACUUAUGUGUAAUGUCGAUGCUAGUUUCCACCGAGCUUCGGACAAAACCGGGAUAGGUUGUUGUGUUCGUAACAAUGCAGGUAUAUUUGUUUCAGCAUUAACCUCUUGGACGCGACCGGAACUGUCUCCACAUGAGGGUGAGACACUGGGGUUGUGGCAAGCUAUGUCUUGGGCUUUUAGUAGCGGCUUCCAAAAUGUGAUAUUUGAAACAGACUCCAAGAUGCUUGUGGAUGCUGUUCAUUCAGAUAGUGCAGGUAUUCCUAAAUUUUAUGUCAUUGUUUCUAAGAUUAGAGGUUUGUUAGCAUUACAUUACAACUUUGAGGUAAAGUUUGUUCGACGUCAAGCAAAUAUGGUUGCUCAUACCUUAGCAAAGGCAACCAUUUCAAAUGUUAAUCGUCAUGUUUAUGAUUAUGCUCCUCUUUGUAUUCAAUAUUAUUUAAGAAAUGAUAUGAGCUGAGUUUUGUUUGUUUAAAAAAAAAAAAAAAAAACUCAACAUAUUUAUGUAUAGAAAUUAAACUAUUUUUAAAGGAUUUAAUUUGUAUUCACCACAAGAAUCAUCAUAACUCAGCCUCUAGGAAGUGCCACGGUCACGACCAUCUCCGUCGUGGACCUUUCCUCUCCUCAUGCAUCGUCUUGUCUUGUUAGGGAAUGAUUUUUUGGCUUAAAGACAGUUUUGGUCAUUCUAUUUUGAUGAAAUCCUAAUUUUAGUCUACCUAUUAUUUUAGCAAAACCGAAGUUUGGAUCUCCUGUUUCAUAAAUUUUUACUAUCGAUUUGAUGAUUUGCAAAAAAAAAAAAGGUGACAUUGCAUUAAAAAAAUAGGUAAGUGAAAGUCAUGUCAUAUUUAUAUGCAUUUUAAAUGAAAAAAAAAGGUACUAAAUAUUGAAAUGAAUAAAAGGUUUUUUUUUCUUCACCGUUUAUUGCUGGACCGGUUGCGUCCAAUCCAUUAUGGUUAAACUCACCAACAUAAGAAAACAAUUCAGAUUGAAAUGUCAUUUUCUAACUUUAAAAACAUAUAAAUAUCAUAUGACUUUCACUUGUCCUUUUGUUCUAAUGUCAUGUCAUUUAAUUUAUUGUCACAUCAGAUUGAAAUGUUAAAAUUAUGUGUUGGUAGAAAUUUAUGGAUCAAGGGUCUAAAUUUACAAUUUUGCUAAAAUAAAUGGAUCAAAAUUACACAAUUAAAAUUAAUGAGAAAAAAAUGGAGGUUUUGUUAAAUAGUGGGACCAAAAUUACAAUUAAAUCUUUUUAACUGUCUUUCUACAUAUUUCUAACCAAUUUUGUAUAUUUACGAAGCAUCAUAUGAUAUUGCAAAAUGUAUUUUAAGUCAUAUAAAAAUUAAAAAUUAUAUACAUUGGUGACCGGGAUACCACCAAAGUUUUUACUAAGGCGAGAUUCCACGUAACAUCCUAUCCAUGUCCACAUCACUAUAAAAAUGACACAUCAUUAAAAUAUGGUCAUGAUGAUUGAACUUUUUUUUAAGAUAAAUUAUUGAAAUUCUUAAACUCAAUCAUAAAAAUUGCUUAAUUAAGUCCGUCAUUAAGACCACCGGUGAGAUACACGCGAAAUACGUGCAAGAUCAUCAUUAAGACCAUCAUAUUUGCCGACGAUCGAUGAACUGAUCGGAUUAACCAACCAAAGUUAGCCACAACCAUUAUAUAUUGAACAAAAGCAAAAGCCUCCGUAACGGUCGGAUGAUAAUAAAAAGUCAUAGCAAAACUCGUCGCUACUUGGACUAAAAAACAAGCAAGUGUAAUUCCUCCUAAACAAUAAAAUAUAUUGACAUGAGGAGGAACAUAUUUACUAGUUAUAUCAUCGGCAAUCGCCUGAAUCUCAAGACGUUCUUCGAACCAAUCAUAUACUUUAUUGAGAUAGGUAAACCAAAGGACCCCCCCGAGAACCGUAUAUGAGAAUUUCAUCUCGUAUGACUCAAACAAAAAUACUAGUAAUUUGGAAAACGGAUAUGUGGAAUAGAAAGUUUUAAACUUCUUAACUUAAUCCUAUGAUUCCAAUCUUUUUUGUAAAUAAAAAAUGGAAAUCCAAAAGGUAUUAUUUGUGUUUAUAAUGCCCAAAAUUUCAAGUCGGCUCGCUCGUCUUUUCUCUUGAUCCUUACCGGCCUCUUGAAUAUUCUAUUAUUCACCU